rnacentral:rRNA from 1 species
AUGGAUCCCACCAGCUUCCCCGGCUACGGGAGCAGUGACGCCCCUACGGCAAUCACGGCGACUGCUCGGGCGCUGCCUCGUGCCAGAUAUAGCAGCCAGGGGUUGACACGGUUCAAAGGGUCCUGGACCGUGGAGGAAGACACGCUGCUCAGGGUGAAGGUGCAGGAAUUCGGCCUAGGGAGGUGGGCGGAGGUCACGUUGUACCUCCCUGGCCGGAGCGGGAAGCAGUGUCGGGAGAGAUGGACCAACCAACUUGACCCCAACAUUGAGAGGAAAAAAUGGACCAAAGCGGAAGACAUGAAGCUGAUCGAGAUGCAUCAGACUUGGGGGAACUGUUGGUCGGUGAUCGCCCGACUACUCCCCGGUCGGUGA